rnacentral:rRNA from 1 species
GGGCCCGCACAAGCGGAGGAACAUGUGGUUUAAUUCGAUGAUACGCGAGGAACCUUACCUGGGCUUGAAUGUACGGUGCAUGGGGGGGAAACCCUUCUUUCCUUCGGGACUCCGUGCAAGGUGCUGCAUGGUUGUCGUCAGCUCGUGCCGUGAGGUGUCGGGUUAAGUCCCAUAACGAGCGCAACCCUUACCGUUAGUUGCCAUCGGGUAGAGCCGGGGACUCUAGCGGAACUGCCACCGUAAGGUGCGAGGAAGGUGGGGAUGACGUCAAAUCAGCACGGCCCUUAUGUCCAGGGCGACACACGUGUUACAAUGGCCGGUACAGAGGGCAGCCACCGCGCGAGCGGGAGCCAAUCUCGAAAGCCGGUCCCAGUUCGGAUCGGAGUCUGCAACUCGACUCCGUGAAGCCGGAUUCGCUAGUAAUCGCGCAUCAGCCACGGCGCGGUGAAUACGUUCCCGGGCCUU